rnacentral:rRNA from 1 species
AUAACGGUCCUAAGGUAGCGAAAUUCCUUGUCAGGUAAGUUCUGACCCGCACGAAUGGCGUAACGACUUGGGCGCUGUCUCAACAGCCCACCCGGCGAAAUUGUUGUACUGGUGAAGAAGCCAGUUACCCGCAACUAGACGGAAAGACCCCAUGGAGCUUUACUGUAGCUUAAUACUGGAAAUCGGUAAAUCAUGUACAGGAUAGGUGGGAGACUUGGAAGCCAGGGCGUCAGCUUUGGUGGAGUCACCCUUGGGAUACCACCCUUGAUUUGCUGGUUUUCUAACCUGCGGCCGUGAAUCCGGUCGGGGGACACUGUUAGGUGGGCAGUUUGACUGGGGCGGUCGCCUCCUAAAAGGUAACGGAGGCGCUCAAAGGUUCGUUCAGCACGGACGGAAACCGUGCAGUGAGUGUAAACGCAUAAACGAGCCUAACUGCGAGACCGACGGGUCGAGCAGUAACGAAAGUUGGAGUUAGUGAUCCGGCGGUAUGCAAGUGGAAGUGCCGUCGCUCAACGGAUAAAAGCUACCCUGGGGAUAACAGGCUGAUCUCCCCCAAGAGUCCACAUCGACGGGGAGGUUUGGCACCUCGAUGUCGGCUCAUCGCAUCCUGGGGCUGUAUUCGGUCCCAAGGGUUUGGCUGUUCGCCAAUUAAAGCGGUACGCGAGCUGGGUUCAGAACGUCGUGAGACAGUUCGGUCCCUAUCUGUCGUGGGCGUAGGAAGUUUGAGAAGAUCUGUCCUCAGUACGAGAGGACCGGGAUGGACAUAUCAAUGGUGCACCAGUUGUCACGCCAGUGGCACAGCUGGGUAGCUAAAUAUGGAAGGGAUAAACGCUGAAGGCAUCUAAGUGUGAAACCCACUUCAAGAUGAGACUUCCCAUUACGCAAGUAAGUAAGACCCCUUAAAGACGAUAAGGUUGAUAGGUCAGGAGUGUAAGCAUGGCGACAUGUUCAGCGGACUGAUACUAAUAGGUCGAGGACUUAACCUA